rnacentral:lncRNA from 1 species
GCAUCCACCUCCAGUUGAAAGUUGAAACUCCAAGGUCCACAAUUUGGGUUUUGGAAGUCACUUUGAUUGCAAUUAAAACAUCACUAUGAUAAAGAGAAGCUGAGAUUGGAAACAAAGACUUCAAGCCCUACAAUUAUGGAUAGUAAUUGCAGGUGCAGGGUGACCAACAUGUAUUAAAUAUCUUUUAAUUUAUACCCAAGAAUUGUGUGCUUAUGCCCUUUUCCUUUUCCAAGAGCUAAAAUUGGAGAAAGCUUGGCAAGAUAGGAAUCGAGAUGGGCCGAACUGACAUCACCGGCAUCCGAUGAGUG